rnacentral:rRNA from 1 species
GCAGCCUGAUGCAGCCAUGCCGCGUGUAUGAAGAAGGCCUUCGGGUUGUAAAGUACUUUCAGUCGUGAGGAAGGCGGCGUCGUUAAUAGCGGCGUUGUUUGACGUUAGCGACAGAAGAAGCACCGGCUAACUCCGUGCCAGCAGCCGCGGUAAUACGGAGGGUGCGAGCGUUAAUCGGAAUUACUGGGCGUAAAGCGCAUGCAGGUGGUUUGUUAAGUCAGAUGUGAAAGCCCGGGGCUCAACCUCGGAAUAGCAUUUGAAACUGGCAGACUAGAGUACUGUAGAGGGGGGUAGAAUUUCAGGUGUAGCGGUGAAAUGCGUAGAGAUCUGAAGGAAUACCGGUGGCGAAGGCGGCCCCCUGGACAGAUACUGACACUCAGAUGCGAAAGCGUGGGGAGCAAACAGGAUUAGAUACCCUGGUAGUCCACGCCGUAAACGAUGUCUACUUGGAGGUUGUGGCCUUGAGCCGUGGCUUUCGGAGCUAACGCGUUAAGUAGACCGCCUGGGGAGUACGGUCGCAAGAUUAAAACUUAA